GUGUCUCUGCCUCUUGUUCCCGGCCACCCGAGAGAGCAGUAUUCAUUCAACGUGGGCAUUUUUGAUUCAGUCUAAUUUGGUUUGGUUGGAGUUCUUUGUGCCGGUGAAGAGGCUCAUCUUAAGAGAUAUUCCUAAGAAGCGCCAUCAGAAGAUCCUAACCUACCAGUGUGUGAGUUCAGACUUCACGUUCUAUCAGGAUGGGGAACCACAUCUGUUUACGCUGCCCAGACUGGAGCGCCUACGUGCAUCAGGAAGAAGAGAACUUGGUCCAGAACGAGAAGUAGAUAACACCUGGAUGUCCUGCCCUAUUAAGACCUGAUUCUGCUAGUCACCACCUCCUGCUCCACAUGCCCUUCAACCUCCCCUGACGGAACUGCUCGCUGGGGACCAAGCAUUGAAGAGCACAGCCUGUAGAAUGCACGUCACAUUCACAACGUAACAGGAACUAAUCAUCUUGCUUCUGUGCGUGGAUGCUGGAAGGAGGGAAUGCUAAUUUCUUCCCUCUGUCUUGGUCUCCAGCAUCCACUAGAAGGCAUUUCUGUGUAAGCAUUCACCCCACUGUGCAGCAUCGCGGUCACAUUGUGGGAACUGUGGCCCCAGCACUCCCUGUGUAACUCGGAACUCCACAGAGGAUGCAGCUUACAAAGACACAAAGGAGGAGAAGAGGAGCCCAGGCCCGUUUCCUCCUUUGAUCUCCUUUGCAUGUGUGGAUUCCUCUCUCCCUCCUGUACCCAUGACUAUGAUGAAGCAUCACCGGCUUCUUUUCCAGAGCAUCAGGAUCACAUCCAGGUUAACUCCGUUUCAGUUCUGAGAAAGCAACUGCUUAGAAAACAUGAAUAACUUCCGGGUUAAUUGGUGCUGAUAGCUGUGCUGUUUUCCAUUGAGCCACAGUCUGCUGAAGCUGG